rnacentral:tRNA from 1 species
GUGGUUGUAGCUCAGUUGGUAGAGCACCGGAUUGUGAUUCCGGUUGUCGUGGGUUCAAGUCCCAGCAAACACCCCA